CCUACGGGGGGCUGCAGUGGGGAAUAUUGGACAAUGGGGGCAACCCUGAUCCAGCCAUGCCGCGUGUGUGAAGAAGGCCCUCGGGUUGUAAAGCACUUUCAGUGAGGAAGAACGCCUGGUGGUUAAUACCCAUCAGGAAAGACAUCACUCACAGAAGAAGCACCGGCUAACUCCGUGCCAGCAGCCGCGGUAAUACGGAGGGUGCGAGCGUUAAUCGGAAUUACUGGGCGUAAAGCGCGCGUAGGUGGCUUGAUAAGCCGGUUGUGAAAGCCCCGGGCUCAACCUGGGAACGGCAUCCGGAACUGGCAAGCUAGAGUGCAGGAGAGGAAGGUAGAAUUCCCGGUGUAGCAGGGAAAUGCGUAGAGAUCGGGAGGAAUACCAGUGGCGAAGGCGGCCUUCUGGACUGACACUGACACUGAGGUGCGAAAGUGUGGGUAGCAAACAGGAUUAGAUACCCCAGUAGUC
rnacentral:rRNA from 1 species